UACAGAGGGUGCGAGCGUUGUUCGGAAGUAUUGGGCGGAAAGCGCUGGUAGGUGGCUUGGAAAGGCGCGGGGGAAAGCUUCCGGCUCAACCGGAAAAGUGCGCGCGAAACUGACGAGCUUGAGUGCCGGAGAGGGUCGCGGAAUUCCCGGUGUAGAGGUGAAAUUCGUAGAUAUCGGGAGGAACACCAGAGGCGAAGGCGGCGACCUGGAAGGUGACUGACACUGAGCAGCGAAAGCGUGGGUAGCAAACAGG
rnacentral:rRNA from 1 species